UCCAACUUGGCCCCUUCCAG
rnacentral:miRNA from 1 species